GACGAACGCUGGCGGCGUGCUUAACACAUGCAAGUCGAACGGAAAGGCCCUGCUUUUUUGGGGUGCUCGAGUGGCGAACGGGUGAGUAACAAGGGAGUAACCUGCCCUUGACUUUGGGAUAACUUCAGGAAACUGGGGCUAAUACCGGAUAGGAGCUCCUGCUGCAUGGUGGGGGUUGGAAAGUUUCGGCGGGUGGGGAUGGACUCGCGGCUUAUCAGCUUGUUGGUGGGGUAGUGGCUUACCAAGGCUUUGACGGGUAGCCGGCCUGAGAGGGUGACCGGCCACAUUGGGACUGAGAUACGGCCCAGACUCCUACGGGAGGCAGCAGUGGGGAAUAUUGCACAAUGGGCGGAAGCCUGAUGCAGCAACGCCGCGUGCGGGAUGACGGCCUUCGGGUUGUAAACCGCUUUCGCCUGUGACGAAGCGUGAGUGACGGUAAUGGGUAAAGAAGCACCGGCUAACUACGUG
rnacentral:rRNA from 1 species